UACGUAGGGUGCGAGCGUUAAUCGGAAUUACUGGGCGUAAAGCGUGCGUAGGCGGUUGGCAAAGUCAGCUGUGAAAUCCCCGGGCUCAACCCGGGAACUGCGUCCGAUACUGGAAGGCUUGAAUCCGGGAGAGGGAUGCGGAAUUCCAGGUGUAGCGGUGAAAUGCGUAGAUAUCAGGAGGAACACCGGUGGCGAAGGCGGGUCUCUGGGCCGUAACUGACGCUGAGGAGCGAAAGCGUGGGGAGCGAACAGG
rnacentral:rRNA from 1 species